AAAUAGAACUUUGCAGAGAGAGUUAACAGGGCGUGAAACCGUUGAUUGGCAAACGAAUCGGAGCCACGAAGUCGUUUCGCUGUUAGUUGGGCGGAGUUCAGUUCGCGCCGAAAGACGCGGGCGUAUUCUCACGCUCAUCCAACUUUGUAAGCGUACACUGCAACCUGUUAGACGAUCAGCUGUGGGCUGAGUGACGUAGAGCGAGCAAUCGCGCUGCGGCACGCAUUGUCUGUUCGCUCGCGGUAGUAGUAGCGCAACUGACUUCGGUCUUUCUGUGUUGCUGGCCGCGUGGCGGGUGAACUACAGCUGAAUACUGACAGGCGAAAUGAAAACCGUUUAAAAACGUUAGAGAAAAUGCAGUUGGCCACAUGGAUGUCUACACGUUCGACUGUUAGGUCUAAGCUUGGCAUUUUUGAAUUCAGACCUGCUUGCUACCAGUGGGGCAACUCCUGGUGCUUGUAUGGCUUCUGUCUAAUCGGGUGUCGACUUGGCUUGGCAUCGUUCGGGCGUGAAUCGAUCGGAUGUUUAUGUGAGCUAAUUCGCAAUUUGAAUUGGCAGUGAGUAGGUCGGCUUUCCGAACGA
rnacentral:rRNA from 1 species